CAGGGGUUCCAAGCAUGACCGGGCGGAUAUCGCCCAAUCGGAAUGAAGAGAGGGCGGGAUCAGUGAAAACCACGUGAUCAUCAACGAGAGCGGUCCAGAGUCGCUGAGGCCGGAGAAUCCGAGAUAACACGGUGUGCAGCUGGAUGAACACAGCAGGUCAAGCAGUAUCAGAGGAUCAGGAAAGCUGGCGUUUCGGGCCUAGAUCCUUCGCUGAGACCAAGAUUUGUGCAACUGAGAUACCAGCGAUCGUCGCCAAAGCCCUGUUGCCUGUCGAGAAGUUUAACCUUCGUGUCCUGCUGCAGUUUGUAUGAUGAAGGUGCUCCCACAAUGCGGCCAUUUGAGAAGUUACAGAUCAUUCAUCUAGCAAUACUGAAGAGCUAACGGUGAUAUUGCAAGUGGACUUUCAGGUGGGAAUCUCAAUAAUUGUAGCACCAGACUCUGACAGAAUUACUCAAUUCAUCAGGACCUGGAUAUUCGCAUUAUAUUUCCACAAUUUUACUUCUGCACCGUUCUUAGUCUUUCGAGCCCUCUGAAAGACUGAGUUACAGAUCUAUACAAUGCCUGUCCUUCCUCCCUGGCUCUCCCACCUCUCUCUUAUGGUAGGUUUGUGCAAACACUGACUGGAUCCCUUACCUGGAGGAUAUUUAUUUAUGAAUUUGUUCUAAUGAUAAUCCAGCAUAUUCCCCAAGUAUCACUCCACAAAUGUCCAGAGGAUUUCUCAGUUUCACAAUCUGUGUGUGUUCUUCUGGUUCCUCGCUCACUGCACUUGCUUUCUGUUUGAAAGCUUAGUCUACAGUUGGAGAAUUCAAACAGGAACACAUCCAGAUCUGACAGUUACUUUGUUCAUCACAACUCAAUUACCUCAGGAUUUUGAACACUGAAGGAAAAAGCAGCACUCACAGUGGGGAGAAAUGCACAUGGUCUGUGAAGAUUCAUCUGAAAUGUCCUUACACCAGCUCAGUGACACUGGGGAGAGACCAUUCACCUGCUCUAAAUGUGGGAAAGCAUUCACUCAGUCAUCCAAACUGUUAACACACCAGUGGGUUCGCAAAGCAGCACAGUUGAAGGAUUUUGCUGUCACUGUCACUAUCAAAUGAACCAUGGUUUUGGGCUGUUUGUACUGAUGUUACUGAUCCCGGUUCAAUUCAAGGUACUGGUAUUGUGGAUAAAAUGUUAAUCAGUUGUGUAUCUGUCAGGUAGAGCUUGGAAAUAGUCACGUUGUCAUGACACAUCGACACAUUCACACUGACGAAAGACUAUCCACCUGCACGGUAUGUGAAAAGGGAUUUCCCGGUUCAUCAGGACUGGUUAACUAGCAGCAAAUUUCUGAGUAACUGUUAAGUUGGUUUUUGAUUCUGCUGUUAGCUAUAUACAAACCAUGUUUUUUGGGCUUGUUUCUGGAGACCAUAGGAUCCCUCCGGUGUGGAAGCAGACCAUUUAGCCCAUCAAGUCCACACUGAACUUAUGAAGAGUGUCUUACCCAGACCCUGCCUGCGUGGGUUUCCUCCAGGUUCCUCCCACAGUCCAAAAAUAUGCAAAUUGGGUAGAUUGACUAUGCUAAAUUGCCCGUAGUGUCACGUGUGUAAAAUGCAGGGACUGGGUAGGGUGGGAUGCUCUUUGGAGGGUUCGUGUGGACUCGAUGGACUGAAUGGCCAUCUUCCACACUGUAAGAAUUCUAUGAUGAUCUUGAUGGCCCUUUAUUUGUUAGUUAUGUCUGGUCAAUAUGUCUGUGCACCUUUUACAAUUACGGAUUCUAUUGCUCUCCACAGACAUGUUUCAAUUUUUAAUAGAUAUUUGUUUAUUGGAAACAAUGCAAUCUUUCCUUUUGAUUUCUAUCCACAAAAUGAAAGUUUUAAAUCGAAACAUAAAAUUGGGAUGAGUCCUGCACUACAAUCCCUGAUUGGGGAAAAUGCAAUCAGCUAUGAAACCUGGUGACCAUUGUGACUCUGUCCGGGGGAAAUGCAGUCUCCUCAGAUCCUUACCUGUUGUCCGUAGCAAUGAUGGAUCUCAUGAUGAAUACAUAUACACCAGAUAUCACACAAUGUCUUGGUUUAUUUUCUAUUUAUUCUUCUGUCCAUUACUCCACAGAGACUGAGAUAACGGUCUGGGGACCUAGGUUUGAAACCCACCAUUCCAGAUGGUAGAAUUUGAGUUUAAACAAAAAAAUCUGAAAUAAGAAUCUAAUGAUGACUGUAAAUCUGUUUUCAUUGUUGGAAAAACCUAUGUCUUUUAGGGAAGGAAACUGCCAUUCUUGUCCAGGGAUAUCAAGAUCCCAUGAAUGAAUUUUUAAAAAUUAAUUUUAAAUAAAACUCCUGCAAAUACA